rnacentral:sRNA from 1 species
CCAUGGACUCGGGAACCGAGGAGUACGAGCUCAACGGCGGCCUGCCUCCGGGCACACCCGGCUCCCCGGACGCCUCGCCGGCCCGCUGGGGCUGGAGGCACGGGCCCAUCAACGUGAACCAUUACGCCAACAAGAAGAGCGCAGCCGAGAGCAUGCUGGACAUCGCGCUGCUGAUGGCCAACGCGUCCCAGCUGAAGGCCGUCGUGGAACAGGGCCCCAGCUUCGCCUUCUAUGUGCCCCUGGUGGUCCUCAUCUCCAUCUCCCUUGCACUGCAGAUCGGCGUGGGGGUGCUGCUCAUCUUCCUUGGUAGGUCCCCGGGAGGGGGCAGCCGGGCCACCUGCUCACCUUGCUGGCAUCUGCUCGCAUCCCCUGGGACACGAGCCCACCACCUUGCACACUUGGAUCUCAAGGAGCUGCUGAGUUCCUGGCCCUCAUCACCCAGACAUGCAGUCCAGGAAGUGGCACCCCCCUGCCCCCAACCCUGCACU